UGCGGCGGCUGACAGGGCUCCUCGCCGCCGCCCCCCACCCAGCCCCGACCCGCGCUCUGAAGUGUUCGGAGGAGGGUCCUUGGGUCCUGCGGGGAGCAGGGGCCACCACCUGGCCCGCCCCUUGUCGCUGGACAUCUGAAGAUCAGGCCCCUUCCCCGGUCUCGCCAUCACCGCUUCUCGGGGUGCCACGCCCCGCCAGAGGGAGGGGCCGCCCGUGCCGUGCGGAGCGGAACCAGACCGGCUCUGGACCCCUAGAGGCCGCAGCAACGGACCCGGAGUCCGGACCUCCGCCCUCUCCCGCGUCCCCUCAACCCUCCCGGGACACCCAGCAACCCCAGCGCUCCUGGGCCCUCCGCUGGACGCCCCCAGCAUCGUGCCUUCCAGUGCCCCGGACCCCGGCGCGGUCCCCAGUCCUCCUGCGCCCCUCCUAUCCUGCGUCGGAUCCCCCUGAGCCUCUCCGGGCCCCUGACUUCCGCCCCCAGGUCCUCAGGGCGGCCCGGGCCAGGCCCCCUCGAGCCCCGGCGGCUGCCCAGGGAGGAGAGCGCCAUGCUCCGGCUCCUGGUGCUGCUGCUCCUGCUGCUGCUGCCCCCCGCGCGCGCCCCGGAGCCCUCGGCGCAGGAUGUGAGCCUGGGCGUGGACUGGCUGACACGCUAUGGCUACCUGCCGCCACCCAACCCUGCCCAGGCCCAGCUGCAGAGCCCUGCCAAGCUACGGGAUGCCAUCAAGGUCAUGCAGAGGUUUGCCGGGCUGCGUGAGACGGGUGUCCUGGACCCAGAGACAAUGGCCGCCAUGCAUAAGCCCCGCUGCUCCCUGCCGGACGUGCUGGGGGUGGCGGGGCUGGUUAGGCGGCGCCGCCGAUACGCCCUGAGUGGGAGCGUGUGGAAGAAGCGAACCCUGACGUGGAGGGUCCAGUCCUUCCCCCAGAGCUCCGCGCUGAGCCAGGAGACAGUGCGGACCCUCAUGCACCAUGCCUUGACUGCCUGGGGCGCUGUGUCAGGCCUCAGUUUCCAGGAGGUGGGUUCUCAGGGCCCAAGUGAGCCCGACAUCCUCAUCGACUUUGCCCGGGCGUACCACCAGGACAGUUACCCCUUCGACGGGCAGGGGGGCACCCUCGCCCAUGCCUUCUUCCCUGGGGAGCACCCCAUCUCUGGGGACACUCACUUCGACGAUGAGGAGACCUGGACUUUUGGGUCAAAAGAUGGUGAGGGGACCGACCUGUUUGCAGUGGCUGUCCACGAGUUUGGCCACGCCCUGGGCCUGGGCCACUCCUCAGUGCCUGACUCCAUCAUGAGGCCCUUUUACCAGGGCCCAGUGGGUGACCCCACCAAGUACCGCCUGUCCCAGGAUGACCGGGAAGGCCUGGAGCAGCUCUAUGGGAAAGCGCCCCAAACCCCCUAUGACAAGCCCACAAGGAGACCCCUGGCUCCUCCUCCCCCGCCCCCUGCUCUGCCCCCAGACAGCCCCUCCCUCCCCGUCCCUGACCGAUGUGAGGGCAAUUUUGACGCCAUCGCUAACAUCCGCGGGGAAACCUUCUUUUUUAAAGGCCCCUGGUUCUGGCGCCUCCAGCCCUCGGGACAGCUGGUGUCCCCCCGGCCCGCCAGGCUCCACCGCUUCUGGGAGGGGCUGCCGGCCCAGGUGCAGGUCAUCCAGGCGGCCUACGCCCGGCCCCCAGACGGCCGCAUCCUCCUCUUCAGCGGCCCGCAGUUCUGGGUGUUCCAGGACCGGCGGCUGGAGGGCGCCGCGCGGCCGCUCACCGAGCUGGGGCUGCCCCCGGGGGAGGCGGUGGACGCCGUGUUCUCGUGGCCGCAGAAUGGGAAGACCUACCUGAUCCGGGGCCAGCGCUACUGGCGCUACGACGAGGCGGCGGCGCGCCCGGACCCCGGCUACCCGCGCGACCUGAGCCUCUGGGAGGGGGCGCCUCUGGCCCCCGACGAUGUCACCGUCAGCAACACAGACACAGACACACACACACACACACAGACACACACACACACACACACACACACACACACAGAGUCAGCCCUGCAUCCUGCCCUAGGGCAGGCUCCAUCCUCCACCCUCCAUCCUCCAGAGGAAGGCCCUUCCCUCCUCUGCUCUUACAUCAGCUGGACCUCCUGGAGCAGAAACCUCAGCUGGAGCUGUGUGCCGGGAGGCCCUGGGGGAGGCCACAGCCCCUGGAAUCCUGAGCUGCCGUGAGCUGCUGCAAGGUGAGUGAGUGCAGGUGAUGGGGGACCAGUGGGGCCUGGAGUCUCAUUUCUGCUGUGUCUCCCCAUUUCCCACCAAUGCAGGCCCCCAACUAUGCUGAUCUCUCCCCAUGCACCUGGCUCUGUCCCAUUCUCCCUGAGUUAUGGAUGGAGCUGCUUGGGGAGCAGGGGUCACAACUGUCCUUCCCACCAGUCCGGAGCUUUUGGAAUCCUGAUCAACUGUAUACUCCUCCACAAAAGAAGCUUAUACACUCACCUGAAGCCCUGAUUUUUGCGACUGCUGACCAGGGGACACACCAGAUCACCUGUCUCUGGGGACCAGCAGUGCUUAUGCUUGUGUUCCCACAGAGAUCCCGAGUCCCGGAUAAGAGUUGGAGAACUGAAGAGAUGAUGAUGAUGAUGAUGAUGAUGAUGAAGGUGCCACCUCCGGUUUGCUCAUCCCUUACAGUGGACCAAAUGCACACCAAUGUGGCAGGUCCAGACGGUCCUAGUACAUGUGGAGGUGAGUUUUGAUCUUUCCCCUCCCCCAAAGCUUAGUUCCCAGGAGCUGGGUCAUCCAGGUUAUUGGGUCUGGGCUCGUGGCUCCCUUAUGUCUCACUGCACCCCUGGAGGCCACAGUGGGGACUGCAGGCUUCAGCAGGCAGGGGCAGGUCUGCAGCCUCUGUGCUCUCCUGUCCCCAGGACCAAUUCAGUGAAAUCUUGCUUGACCAUAUGGAUAUUCUCUAUCAGAGAAACUACAUGGUGAGAUGACGUGCCUGUCUUAAUGCCCCUUGUUUCCCCUUCCCCUUUUUCUCUCUCUUGAUUUUGAUGUUGCCAUGUCUGUAUACAACCACCCUGAAUGAGGGGUGGAGGGAUGGCCCCCAGAGAGCUCAGGAGGUGGCAGCCUCUCUGGCACCAGCCUCCAGGCCUCCUCACCCAGCAGACAGUGGCCAGAGGCCUGCCCUCAGUUCCACGUGAGAUGUGCCUGGUGGACCUGGUGCUGGGCUCCGAGGCCAGUCAGCCAACAAGUAGGUGCAGCCGUCGUGGUUUAUACCACGGAGGGGACCUGAAGGGCCGAGCCUCUGGGAAAGUCCUCGUGUUUGUGGAAAGCUGGUGAGAAAGCAGGCAGUUUCUGUCAUUUCCCAGACUAAGAAAGACUGGAAGGCAUCAGCCAGGGUCAGGACCUGGGGCUGCAUCCCCACAGGCAGGACCUUGAAUGGCCCACAUCCCUGCAGGAAAGGGCUUACUUUCUGAAGUGCAGCAGGAGGGCCCUUGCAGAGUCUGCAGUCCUUCCAGCCCCACUCCGGAUCCUGAAAGUCCAGAGGCCCCUUCUAGUGUCCAGAAGCCCUCUGGCCCCAUCCCAGAACCUGAGACUCCAGAGGCUGUGGAGCCCAGAUAACUUCUGUGACAGAGCACUGAGAUUGUUCCAAGAGCUGCUGGAGGACAGCAGAAGAUGUUGCAGGAGGCAGUGGGCUGGGUGCAGAAAGUGGAGCUGACUUGUAGGCUUUACGCAGUACGGUCCAGUCCAUCCGGAGUGUGCUUAAGAGUCUCUGGUCCUUUGUGGCUCAGGUCUUCACCCAGGUCAGGGGGCCCCACGGGGUCCAGGAGGAGUGGCCACAUCUCGCAACCCUUUGACUUCCUCCAUCAGAAAGAAUCUUCUGAAGUGGCCUUUGCCACCUGCUCUCCUUGACCUGUCCUUGGCCACCUCCUUCACCUCCUGCCUGUGCAAGGCCUGGUCACUCUGCCCGCCACGCCCUCCCGCCCAGGUUUCCUUCUGCAGGGCUGACUUGUCGCUCUAGCCCCGA